GAUGAACGCUGGCGGCGUGCCUAAUACAUGCAAGUAGAACGCUGAAGCUUGGUGCUUGCACCGAGCGGAUGAGUUGCGAACGGGUGAGUAACGCGUAGGUAACCUGCCUCUUAGCGGGGGAUAACUAUUGGAAACGAUAGCUAAUACCGCAUAAAAGUCGAUAUCGCAUGAUAUUGAUUUGAAAGGUGCAAAUGCAUCACUAAGAGAUGGACCUGCGUUGUAUUAGCUAGUUGGUGAGGUAACGGCUCACCAAGGCGACGAUACAUAGCCGACCUGAGAGGGUGAUCGGCCACACUGGGACUGAGACACGGCCCAGACUCCUACGGGAGGCAGCAGUAGGGAAUCUUCGGCAAUGGGGGCAACCCUGACCGAGCAACGCCGCGUGAGUGAAGAAGGUUUUCGGAUCGUAAAGCUCUGUUGUAAGAGAAGAACGAGUGCGAGAGUGGAAAGUUCACACUGUGACGGUAACUUACCAGAAAGAGACGGCUAACUACGUG
rnacentral:rRNA from 1 species